rnacentral:rRNA from 1 species
UACGUAGGGGCAAGCGUUGUCCGGAAUUAUUGGCGUAAAGAGCGUGUAGGCGGCCAGAUAAGUCCGCUGUGAAAUCUCGAGGCUCAACUUCGAGCUGUCGGUGGAACUAUCUGGCUAGAGUCCGAAGAGGAGAAUGGAAGUUCCGUGGUGAUGAUCGCGGUGAAAUGACGCAGAUAUCAGGAAGAACACCCGUGGCGGAAGCGGCUCUCUGUACGAACUGACGCUGAGACGCGAAAGCGUGGGGAGCGAACAGGA